UUCGGCCCACCAUAUAAAUGCCCAUUCAUGAUCCAGUGGCCCUUCAGAAGGAACCAAUUGGCAAUUCACUGGGUUUCUUUUUGGUACAGCUUUCCUUCUAGUAUGUACUUUUUAAUUCCUCAAAUUUUCCUUGAAGUCUUUGGGUCACUUUGAAGACCUCAAAAUGCAGGUGCCAGAGCCCAGAAACUGGCUCACAAAGGUCUUCUCUGGAAGCACUUGUGGGAAAUCAAGGUCUGUUCCGCCUCAGUUAAUUUACAGAACCACUGUGUCACUACACUUAAAGUACAGAUGGCUGUGGCGGAUUUUAUCACUUUGGAGAAGCGAUGGGAACCCAAAAUCAAAUCCAGGCAAGGUAGGUCAGCCUGGAAGAGACAGGCCGGCUGAUGCUCUUGGGACGGCCUUUCUGCAGAACGACCAAAUCGCGGCUGGGCUCCGUGAAUGCGCACGGCCAGGAUUCAGACCUUUUCCGAACAGAUUUAACACUCGAGUCAACAGUGUAAGUGUAAGAGGAUCCGGCAGUGGGAAGAAUAAAUUCCUCCCGAACCAGCGGGACAAAGAGCCACGGGGUCUGGAACUGGAAGAAGGCGGAGAAGUUUAGCUGAAAUUAUGUUUGCUUGAAAAUCUCCCACCACGUUCCUAUUUUAUGAUUUGGAUGGCUUUCUCAAAACCUCGCCUGUAGAAAUCUGAAGGAAACAGAGACUGGAGGGACUUUCUGAGCAGUUUUUAAGGUGUGCUCGACUGGCUGGCCAGUCAUUUUGAUGUUUUGCCUUCUUUCAGGUGUGGUUAUACACCUGCUUAUUUAAUGGACCAAAUAGAUUUUUUAAAAAAAUCUGACAUAGACUGAUGAGUGUUAUUAAAAUGGAUGUCAAUUGUAUGAAUUAAAAAAAUACAGAUUAAUAAAAAAGAACAUGGAAAGAGAAAUACUUAACUA
rnacentral:lncRNA from 1 species